UGCUCUAAUGCAGCACUCUUUACUGCAAUGCUUGGUCUCUACCUAGUGUCAGACUAACAGGUGGCGAGGAAGUCUUCCACAGCCUUGAUUUUUUGAUAUCAGAAAAAUGAGCUUAACUGUCAUAGUCACCUCAAAGAGAAUCUGAAGUGACAGAUCAAAAGGUCUAUGUGGAAUUCACAUUCCCACUCCACGAUUUGAAUUCUAUUUACACAGUUGCCUGACACUGCCUUAGAAUCUAGCUAAUCCUUUCUCUAGAUCAUGGUUUAUUUUCUCAACAUUUUUUUCCCCUGUUCACUUCAGAAAUAGGCCCAUUAAUCAUUCAUUUCAAGCCAAAGUUACUGAAGGUCAAGCAGUUCCAACUUGCAAACUGUUGAAGUUUAGCAAAUUCAGUUCUAUUUCCACAACACAGACUAAGGGUAGCUCAUCUGCUUGUACCUUCUUCUGAACUAACUACACGCUGUCAGUUCCAUUUCUCAGACUCUGCAGAGCUCAGAACCAGAGUGGGGUUGCCUUCAGCCCCCAAACAGACCUGCUUUCUGCUUUCUGUGCAGUUCCCUCCAUGCCAAUCCAGUUAUUUUGCCACACAGACCAAUGUACUUGGGACAGAGCCAUUUAGAAAUGGAAAAUCUGGUCAGAGACUUCUGGAGGCAGGGCUACAGGGUCGCAGCAGCUACAUUUCACUAUCCGGGUCGACUAGGAAUAACAAAGAAGAUCACCUGAGAACACACCAAGACAGGACUAAAAUUACUUUGGAAACCCACCAAGUCAUGGGUAAAGAAACAGAAAGACAUAAAAGGAGAAAGAAUACAGCACUUUCCCACCAUUCAUUGUGCUUCCUCUGGUACCAUGGUCGAACCCAGGGUCUCCUGAAUGACAAGAUCAACUAUUAGUUGAGCUUUUUCCUGCACCCCUGGGAUUUUUGUUUGUUUAUUUUUUUUUGUACUUUGUAAAUUCAAGAAAUGGUUUGUUGAAAUAAAUAAUAUUUAGGUUUAAAAGAUGGUCUGGAUUACCAAUAAUCUGAUUGCAAGUUUUAGAAACCUAUGUAAAAUACUCAAGAGAAAAUUUUGAAUAGGCGGACUAUGCCACAGACCUUAAUGGCAAAUAGAUUCCUCUGAUAUAUAUAUAUAUAUUUUCCUUUCUUGAAUGCCCAGAAUCACUUAGCUUGUGUGGUGAAUUUUUGUUCAAACCUCAGACAAAAACUAAACUGAGUAAUCCCGAAGCAAAUUCUUAGAAUGAAAUCUAUAGCUUGGUUCAACAAACUUUGAAUAGGAAAGGUAAUCUUACCCUGUCAUCCAUUUUCCCUUUAAGGACAUUUAAGCCAAUUCCAAGAAGACCAAGAUAAAACAGAAGGUUAAUAUUAGUUAAAAUAAGAAGGGAGGCAGUCUGGCAUGCACCUCAAGGAUGAUCAGUCCAGUGUUUGAAGUGACUUUUCUUUAGUCUUUAUGUCAAAUGCAUGGGCACUGAUGGGUCCAUACUCCUGUUGCUAUGAUGAGAAACUGGGUCUCUUGACCACCGUAGUCAUCCAGUGGCUCUUGUCUCUAAAAGUUCUUGGGCUUAGAGUUACAUGCCUUAGAGCUGCAAGGUGCAGUGCUGUCCUUACAGAAAGUUGGAGCUGAAUAAUUGAGGUUUCAUUUUACUUCAUUCCUCUGACAUUCCAGGAGUGAAUGUUCCCGCUGAGCUUAGUUUAGUUCAGCAAAGGGCACCAGAAACUGAGAAAAAUGGACUUUGUGGUCCAAUCCAUUACUGGAUUUGAUGUCCUGCAUAGUUCCUGUGUGAGAGAGCUGAUUCCCCGUCUUCCCAGUGAUUCCCCCUUCUGGCCCAAUGAUGGAUGCCUCACGCCCUGAAGUGAAGAGACUGAAACCUGUCACUUGGAGAUGAAUCACUGCAUCUCUUCUCUGAGACAGGGGAAAAGGAUGUGACUUUGGCGUCAAAGAUGCCUCUAGCAGGAGCGAGUACACCUGAGAUGAACCUGACCAGCCAAGCAGCUCUGGGUGACAGCUUCAUUAAACGGGGCCAUGACUUGCUUGAUCUGGACCCCAGGCAAAUCCCUCAACUGCAGGAUUUCUUAGCCAGAUGUUGACUUCCAAGCCAUGAGCAAUGAAAUUUGUGUGUGAUCACUUAGGCAUUACUUUGUCAUUUUCCAUCUUUCCAUUUUAGCAAUUUUGAGCAAAUAACUCUUGUGUUGAGGCGUUUGUAACUGUGUCUUCUUGAGACUCUUUCUUGACAGGACUAUUGGCACAAAAGCCAAAGAACCAGAAAGAUUUAGGCCAGCUCCUCUCUUCAAGACUUUCCUCAUUCAAAUUUGUUUGUUGAAGAGGAGAAGAUAAAUAGUUCUUUUCUUCCCUUUCAUUUGAGCCCAUUCUAUUGCUCCAAUAAGAUUAUCUGGCAUGGAAAUGCAUAUGCUUAGUCAAUUCUUUAAUUUCUUUCUCAAAGUUGGCUGAAGUCCUAGUAACUUGUCAGUGAUCUUCCUCCUAGAAUUGGAAACAUUUCCCUCACACACCUGGGCAGGUGGUGUUGCUUGGCACAUCUGGUUCUCAGAGAAGAGAGAGAGAUAAUCCAGGCAUUAGGGUAGGCAGUGCAAGGCAGUGCAGGGCGAGGUACCCGCCGUCUGGCUGUGGCUGUGAACUGGGAGGGUGGGUGCCAGCAGGCCUCUCUUUUGAGUUUUCUGUUAUCUCUAGUGACACGAGACUGCUUUUAGUUAUCUUUCAUCUCAUCUUUGACCUCUAUGGAUGAGGAAAUUUUGUUGCGUGUUCCCAAACUUUGGCUAAGAGAUGCAAAUGAACAGCCCCCACAGGAAGUACGUGUUGCCAAGUUCAACAUUAGAAGCAGGUAUCAGUGCUUUCAGAGAAAGUCUAAUAAUAAGUUUGGAAGCAUUCCAGUACUCUUGUUUGACUUUCGUAUUAAACUGCCUCAAUAAGCCUUUGUUUUCUUUUUUGGGAACAAUGGAAAAAUGUUCAUAUCUCAUUAAUAGUUCUAGCCAAUC